CUACGGGCUGCAGCAGUGGGGAAUAUUGGACAAUGGGGGAAACCCUGAUCCAGCAAUGCCGCGUGUGUGAAGAAGGCCUGCGGGUUGUAAAGCACUUUCGGUUGGGAGGACUGCUUCUAGCACUAAUAUUGUUGGAAGUUGACGUUACCUUCAGAAGAAGCACCGGCUAACUCCGUGCCAGCAGCCGCGGUAAUACGGGAGGUGCAAGCGUUAAUCGGAAUUACUGGGCGUAAAGCGCGCGUAGGCGGCUAGAUCAGUCGGGUGUGAAAGCCCCGGGCUUAACCUGGGAACUGCAUCCGAUACUGUCUAGCUUGAGUACAGGAGAGGAGAGUGGAAUUCCACAUGUAGCGGUGAAAUGCGUAGAUAUGUGGAGGAACACCAAUGGCGAAGGCAGCUCUCUGGCCUGAUACUGACGCUGAGGUGCGAAAGCGUGGGGAGCAAACAGGAUUAGAUACCCGCGUAGUC
rnacentral:rRNA from 1 species